AUUGAACGCUGGCGGCAUGCUUUACACAUGCAAGUCGAACGGUAACAGGCCGCAAGGUGCUGACGAGUGGCGAACGGGUGAGUAAUGCAUCGGAACGUGCCCAGUCGUGGGGGAUAACGCAGCGAAAGCUGCGCUAAUACCGCAUACGAUCUAUGGAUGAAAGCGGGGGACCGUAAGGCCUCGCGCGAUUGGAGCGGCCGAUGUCAGAUUAGGUAGUUGGUGGGGUAAAGGCUCACCAAGCCAACGAUCUGUAGCUGGUCUGAGAGGACGACCAGCCACACUGGGACUGAGACACGGCCCAGACUCCUACGGGAGGCAGCAGUGGGGAAUUUUGGACAAUGGGCGCAAGCCUGAUCCAGCAAUGCCGCGUGCAGGAAGAAGGCCUCGGGUUGUAAACUGCUUUUUGUACGGAACGAAACGGUCUGGGUUAAUACCCUGGGCUAAUGACGGUACCGUAAGAAUAAGCACCGGCUAACUACGUGCCAGCAGCCGCGGUAAUACGUAGGGUGCGAGCGUUAAUCGGAAUUACUGGGCGUAAAGCGUGCGCAGGCGGUUUUGUAAGACAGGCGUGAAAUCCCCGGGCUUAACCUGGGAAUUGCGCUUGUGACUGCAAGGCUGGAGUGCGGCAGAGGGGGCAUGGAAUUCCGCGUGUAGCAGUGAAAUGCGUAGAUAUGCGGAGGAACACCGAUGGCGAAGGCAAUCCCCUGGGCCUGCACUNACGCUCAUGCACGAAAAGCGUGGGGG
rnacentral:rRNA from 1 species